UUGGAGGGCAAGUCUGGUGCCAGCAGCCGCGGUAAUUCCAGCUCCAAUAGCGUAUAUUAAAGUUGUUGCAGUUAAAAGCUCGUAGUUGAAUUUCGGGAUCAAUAUAUCGGUCAUGCUUAGGUAUGUACUGGUAUUAUUGAUUUCUCCCUUCUGAAGAACCAUGAUGUCAUUUAUUUGAUGUCGUGGGGAAUCAGGACUGUUACUUUGAAAAAAUUAGAGUGUUUAAAGCAGGCUUUCGCUUGAAUACAUUAGCAUGGAAUAAUGAAAUAGGACGUUUGAUUCUAUUUUGUUGGUUUCUAGGAUCGACGUAAUGAUUAAUAGGGAUAGUUGGGGGCAUUAGUAUUCAAUUGUCAGAGGUGAAAUUCUUGGAUUUAUUGAAGACUAACUACUGCGAAAGCAUUUGCCAAGGAUGUUUUCAUUAAUCAAGAACGAAAGUUAGGGGAUCGAAGACGAUCAGAUACCGUCGUAGUCUUAACCAUAAACUAUGCCGACUAGGGAUCGGAUGAUGUUAAUUUUUUAAUGACUCAUUCGGCGCCUUACGGGAAACCAAAGUGUUUGGGUUC
rnacentral:rRNA from 1 species